CACGUAGGCGGAUCGUUAAGUGAGGGGUGAAAUCCCGGGGCCCAACCCCGGAACUGCCUUUCAUACUGGCGGUCUCGAGUUCGAGAGAGGUGAGUGGAAUUCCGAGUGUAGAGGUGAAAUUCGUAGAUAUUCGGAGGAACACCAGUGGCGAAGGCGGCUCACUGGCUCGAUACUGACGCUGAGGUGCGAAAGCGUGGGGAGCAAACA
rnacentral:rRNA from 1 species